rnacentral:rRNA from 1 species
AUUGAACGCUGGCGGCAGGCCUAACACAUGCAAGUCGAGCGGAUGAAGGGAGCUUGCUCCUGGAUUCAGCGGCGGACGGGUGAGUAAUGCCUAGGAAUCUGCCUGGUAGUGGGGGAUAACGUCCGGAAACGGGCGCUAAUACCGCAUACGUCCUGAGGGAGAAAGUGGGGGAUCUUCGGACCUCACGCUAUCAGAUGAGCCUAGGUCGGAUUAGCUAGUUGAUGGGGUAAAGGCCUACCAAGGCGACGAUCCGUAACUGGUCUGAGAGGAUGAUCAGUCACACUGGAACUGAGACACGGUCCAGACUCCUACGGGAGGCAGCAGUGGGGAAUAUUGGACAAUGGGCGAAAGCCUGAUCCAGCCAUGCCGCGUGUGUGAAGAAGGUCUUCGGAUUGUAAAGCACUUUAAGUUGGGAGGAAGGGCAGUAAGUUAAUACCUUGCUGUUUUGACGUUACCAACAGAAUAAGCGCCGGCUAACUUCGUG